GAUCCUGGCUCAGGAUGAACGCUGGCGGCGUGCUUAACACAUGCAAGUCGAACGAAGGCACCUUGAUUUGAUUCUUCGGAUGAAGAUCCUGGUGACUGAGUGGCGGACGGGUGAGUAACGCGUGGGUAACCUGCCUCAUUACAAGGGGAUAACAGUUAGAAAUGACUGCUAAUACCGCAUAAGACCACAAGCACCGCAUGGUGGCNGGGGUAAAAACUCCGGUGGUAUGAGAUGGACCCGCG
rnacentral:rRNA from 1 species